AGUCCGGUAGAAAUAUCGGGUAGCUUGUAACCACUAGGUUACAGGUUCGAGUCCUGUCCGGGGAGCCA
rnacentral:tRNA from 1 species